AAAUUGAAGAGUUUGAUCAUGGCUCAGAUUGAACGCUGGCGGCAGGCCUAACACAUGCAAGUCGAGCGGAAACGAGUUAUCAGAACCUUCGGGGGACGAUAACGGCGUCGAGCGGCGGACGGGUGAGUAAUGCCUAGGAAAUUGCCCUGAUGUGGGGGAUAACCAUUGGAAACGAUGGCUAAUACCGCAUGAUGCCUACGGGCCAAAGAGGGGGACCUUCGGGCCUCUCGCGUCAGGAUAUGCCUAGGUGGGAUUAGCUAGUUGGUGAGGUAAGGGCUCACCAAGGCGACGAUCCCUAGCUGGUCUGAGAGGAUGAUCAGCCACACUGGAACUGAGACACGGUCCAGACUCCUACGGGAGGCAGCAGUGGGAUAUUGCACAAUGGGCGCAAGCCUGAUGCAGCCAUGCCGCGUGUGUGAAGAAGGCCUUCGGGUUGUAAAGCACUUUCAGUCGUGAGGAAGGUAGUGUAGUUAAUAGCUGCAUUAUUUGACGUUAGCGACAGAAGAAGCACCGGCUAACUCCGUGCCAGCAGCCGCGGUAAUACGGAGGGUGCGAGCGUUAAUCGGAAUUACUGGGCGUAAAGCGCAUGCAGGUGGUUUGUUAAGUCAGAUGUGAAAGCCCGGGGCUCAACCUCGGAAUUGCAUUUGAAACUGGCAGACUAGAGUACUGUAGAGGGGGGUAGAAUUUCAGGUGUAGCGGUGAAAUGCGUAGAGAUCUGAAGGAAUACCGGUGGCGAAGGCGGCCCCCUGGACAGAUACUGACACUCAGAUGCGAAAGCGUGGGGAGCAAACAGGAUUAGAUACCCUGGUAGUCCACGCCGUAAACGAUGUCUACUUGGAGGUUGUGGCCUUGAGCCGUGGCUUUCGGAGCUAACGCGUUAAGUAGACCGCCUGGGGAGUACGGUCGCAAGAUUAAAACUCAAAUGAAUUGACGGGGGCCCGCACAAGCGGUGGAGCAUGUGGUUUAAUUCGAUGCAACGCGAAGAACCUUACCUACUCUUGACAUCCAGAGAACUUUCCAGAGAUGGAUUGGUGCCUUCGGGAACUCUGAGACAGGUGCUGCAUGGCUGUCGUCAGCUCGUGUUGUGAAAUGUUGGGUUAAGUCCCGCAACGAGCGCAACCCUUAUCCUUGUUUGCCAGCGAGUAAUGUCGGGAACUCCAGGGAGACUGCCGGUGAUAAACCGGAGGAAGGUGGGGGACGACGUCAAGUCAUCAUGGCCCUUACGAGUAGGGCUACACACGUGCUACAAUGGCGCAUACAGAGGGCGGCCAACUUGCGAAAGUGAGCGAAUCCCAAAAAGUGCGUCGUAGUCCGGAUUGGAGUCUGCAACUCGACUCCAUGAAGUCGGAAUCGCUAGUAAUCGUGGAUCAGAAUGCCACGGUGAAUACGUUCCCGGGCCUUGUACACACCGCCCGUCACACCAUGGGAGUGGGCUGCAAAAGAAGUAGGUAGUUUAACCUUCGGGGGGACGCUUACCACUUUGUGGUUCAUGACUGGGGUGAAGUCGUAACAAGGUAGCGCUAGGGGAACCUGGCGCUGGAUCACCUCCUUAAACGAUGAU
rnacentral:rRNA from 1 species